ensembl:snRNA predicted gene, 27297
GACCUCACAGUAGCAGAACAUGUACCAAAAUAGGACCGAUACAGAGAAUGUUAACGUGGCCCUGUGUAAGGAUGCCAUGCAAUUUAUGAACUAUUUCACAUUUUA